GAUGAACGCUGGCGGCGUGCCUAAUACAUGCAAGUCGAGCGAACGGACUAGAAGCUUGCUUCUCUGAUGUUAGCGGCGGACGGGUGAGUAACACGUGGAUAACCUACCUAUAAGACUGGGAUAACUUCGGGAAACCGUAGCUAAUACCGGAUAAUAUUUUGAACCGCAUGGUUCAAAAGUGAAAGACGGUCUUGCUGUCACUUAUAGAUGGAUCCGCGCUGCAUUAGCUAGUUGGUAAGGUAACGGCUUACCAAGGCAACGAUGCAUAGCCGACCUGAGAGGGUGAUCGCCCACACUGGAACUGAGACACGGUCCAGACUCCUACGGGAGGCAGCAGUAGGGAAUCUUCCGCAAUGGGCGAAAGCCUGACGGAGCAACGCCGCGUGAGUGAUGAAGGUCUUCGGAUCGUAAAACUCUGUUAUUAGGGAAGAACAUAUGUGUAAGUAACUGUGCACAUCUUGACGGUACCUAAUCAGAAAGCCACGGCUAACUACGUG
rnacentral:rRNA from 1 species